CCGGUGACUUAGUUAAACGGCCGCGGUAUUUUGACCGUGCAAAGGUAGCAUAAUCAUUUGCCUUUUAAAUGGGGGCUGGUAUGAAUGGCAAGACGGAAAUUAGACUGUCUCUUUCUUUUUUUUUGAAUUUGAUCUUUCUGUGAAGAAGCAGGAAUGUAGUCGUGGGACGAGAAGACCCUGUCGAGCUUUAAUGGGCCUGGGUAGGCGAUUGAAGUUGCUUACUUGCUAAUUUAUUCGUUGAUAAGGAUGAGUGGCAUUACUUGUGUUUGUGGCGACGUUUUAUGUAGGCCGUUUUGGUUGGGGCAACCGCGGAGAAUAUGUAUCCUCCGCUGGGUUCGAUAAGUAAAAUGAUGGUUUUCUUACUUGUUAUGUUUGUGUGAUCCGCUGUUUGGGCGAGCAAAAGAACAAGUUACCGCAGGGAUAACAGCGUAAUUCUUUUAGAGAGUUCAUAUUGAUAAGGGAGUUUGCGACCUCGAUGUUGGAUCGGGAUUUCCUGGGGGUGCAGCA
rnacentral:rRNA from 1 species